UACGAAGGGGGCGAGCGUUGUUCGGAUUUACUGGGCGUAAAGGGCGCGCAGGCGGCGCAUUUUGUCAGGGGUGAAAGCCCCGGGCUUAACCUGGGAACUGCGUUUGAUACGGAUGGGCUAGAGUUCGGGAGAGGAGAGUGGAAUUCCCAGUGUAGAGGUGAAAUUCGUAGAUAUUGGGAAGAACACCGGUGGCGAAGGCGGCUCUCUGGACCGAGACUGACGCUGAGGCGCGAAAGCGUGGGGAGCGAACAGG
rnacentral:rRNA from 1 species